GCUAUAGGUUCUCAAAACUGAACUUUUCUGCAAGGUGCCCAAAGUAAAGGGGAAUUGAAAAGGGAUCUGGAAAAAUUAAUUCUGAGUUCUCAAGUUGUAUGAGUAUUUUGGUAAAAUGCAGCCAAAAUGCCAAGUUUUGAAGGGAAUAUGAGUUGCAUCAUGAGGUAAAUGAUGAAAUACUUGUUUUGGAAAAGCACUACACACACAUGGAGAUAAUAGUAAAAGUUUUUUUUGUUUAUCCUGUUUUUCACUGGACUUGUAAAAUGAGUAAGGUCACCUGAAGCAAUCAAAUUGCAUGAUGUUCUUUAUUGUAGAAACAACUAUUUUUUUGUGAGAAGCAUGCUGAAAAUAUCUUUCUAUAUGCAAAUUUUAUGGCUGAUUUUUCUCUGUCAGCAGCACAGUGAGCUUUGUAGUGAUUGGUGUAAAAAAGGAAGGAAGGUACAGAAACUUGCAAGAGUCAAUAAAUUAACAGAGUAAUUCUGAAAAUACUCUGGGAAUUCCAGAACACGUUUUUUUCCCGUGGUACUUGAGUGUUACUGGGGCAUAUUGAGAGUUGUUUCAGUUGAUCAUGUAGUUCCUGUGGGUUUUUUCUGUCACUCUUACCUUGCCUGAUGGCCUGGCUGCACGUAUUGUAAAUUUACACAAGAGGCUAGCCAGGCUUCAGGUCACAGCUCUGUGUGGAAGUGUGUAUUAAAGUGUCCAUGCAAUAGAACGUGUAUAUGUGCAAAGUAUUUUUGGAUGUAUCUACUAGGGAACUAGUUAAAUGGAUUCUCAUCAGCUAGCACUGUUUGAAAUACUUGCCUAAAAUCAUACUUUAAGAGGGAUGUUUUUAGUGAAGUUAGCUUUUGAAGUUAGUGCAUGAAAGUGGAAAACAUUCUCAAAAUAGUUUUGACUAAGAUAUGCAAAAGAUAGUCCUUCAAGUACUUAAAAUACUAAUAUUGUCUGGUUCUACAAUGGCAGUGUACACAUGCAGAUUUGGAAAAGCAGACCCCAUUUGCUUACGUUCCUUGACUUACAACCACUUGCUCUCUGCUGUGCCAUGCAGGCAAAAUAAAAUGCAGUAAGGUAGAAGGAGUGUUAUUUAACAGUGCAAUGCCAACACAUGUCAUCUGUGUUUUACAGGCACCUACAUCUGUGUGAGUGCCAUCCCAAGAUGAGAGAGGACAGAAGGGCCUGGGAAGAGAACAGAACAGGAGGUGAUAUUCAUGAACUGCUUGCCAGCUGAGGAGGCAGAGAAAGUCACGCUCUUCAGUGGUCUGCUUGUUUUACUGACUUCUGUAGUGGGCCCUCCAAAAGUACAGGGAUCUUAAAUUCCAUGCUGACAGGCUUUUGGAGCAUGUUAUCUUCAUUCCAGUGAUGUUUGCUGAUGCUCAGCAUCUUGGGAAAAUACUUUUCUAAUAACUGUGUUUUAAUAAAUGACAAAUUCUUCUGUUUUAAUAAUGUCCCUGAAAUAAAUGAAUAUUGUUUCAGGCUGACUCUGUAUCAAAAUGGUAUUAUUUAAUGUCAAAAUUGCUGUAGGAACCUGGCAGCCAUGGCUUAUCAAAAACACAUCCAUGGCUUUUUUUGGGAUUGGCUAACCAUUAAUAAUAAAGAAUUAGAUUUUUACUUGAGCCUUUGUAAAAUUUUCAUUGCAUCUUAAAUAUCUCCUCGGUCAUAAUUGAGGAAAGAAGUUUCUUGUGAGGUAGCAGAGGAAGUCAGCUUUUUCUUGUUAAGUCUGAUGAUUAGCUGAAGUCAUUCAGACACUGAAAUUUUAAUUUCCUAUGGAAAUGUUAAUAAUGGUGUGAUUGAGUCAUAACGUCAUUAAAUCUAAUUCCAGACAACAUUACUCUUAGGAAAAUGAGUGAAGUAAAUAAUGCAUAGUGAGGCAAGUUCUGCCAGUGCUGUCUAAAAGCAGGUGGCAGAGGCAGGUGGUGGGUUUUGUUUGCUUCUCUUACCUCUUGUGCAAGGGGAAAGGGGCUCUAGAAAAUAAGUAAGGAGUGCAAAACAAAGCAGAGCAGAGGUAAAAUGCCUUUUUAUAUGUUUUCAUACAAAGCCUGUUCAUUUUUGUUCAUAUGCUGUUUUGUAUUUAGCUGUAAUCAGAAAAUUGAACCUUUGUGAAGAAAAUACAUUGGAAAUUAUUUUGAGGCAUUACGUGGUUGUGAUUGAUGGGUGCUGCAAAAUGUGUUCACAGCCAUCUUUUUUCUCCUCUCUGUGAAACGAUGAAGAGAUGGUUGAUGGUGCAAGUUCCUGAAAUUCUUGGAUAUGCAAACUUAGUGGUGUUACAGAUAUUUCAGCUGUACACUAGAACACUCUAGCAGCAUCCUCUGUUAGUGUUCCAGUGGCAUGACUGGGAAAAUGGGAAGUGAUGGUUGAAUUACAUUGAAUUGGUGAAUAGGCCAAUACUGGAGAAUCGUUCUGUGUUGUACUUGAUGUGUGAUCUGAGAAGGUUCUUUUCCUACUAAAUGCCAGCUGUUCAUUUAUAUUCUCAUCAGUGGUGAUGUUAGACUUGGUGUGUAAACAACUUUUUUAUCAUUUCACAGCCUGUCAAAAAGUACUUGUGGAGAAAAAUUAGUCCAGUUAUGUUUUACCUAUCGGUCCUUAUUUUUUGAAAUUACAAGGGAUAACUUUUUACAUGGGUGAAAGACGUGUACUGUAUAGAACUGAUAGAUAUCUUUUGCUUGCAAUCAAACUUCUUCUUUGCUAUGUGCUUAAUUUGAUCUUUUCCUAGGUGCCAGAAAAAAAACCCAGGUUUUAUGGUGUAAUGUAUUGCCCUAAGAAAAAAUACAGAAAUGUAAAUUUCACUUUUUUGGUCAACUUUAUUUUCUGGCAGGCCGUGUUAUCCUGCAUAAUACCUUUUAAUCCCUUUAUAAUAUUUUCACUGACAAGUUCAGCUCUUGUACACUUGAGCAAGCUUUGGCUGGGAAUUACGCCUGUAUAGAUAAAUACACAAUUUUCAUAGCGGUGUCACCAGUAGCAUCUUGUUGGUACUGGGUCUACAGAUUUGUAUAAAGCUUGUUUGCAUUUUCCAGGAGUUCCUUUUCUGUUCCUUGUUAUUGAUGAGGAAUUCUAGGUUGCAACAUGGCAGUGUGUUGUUACUGAUUGACGUGGAGAUGACAUCAGAACACUGAGCCGUUCAGUAAGUCACCUGUCAUUUUUAGAGUCCUUACAGAAGUUACAGAAUGCAAAUGAAAAAAUUGUGACUUUUCAGGAGGCGAGUAAAGCAUAGCUGGGUGUCUGUGGACCGUGUGUGAUUCACUGGAUUUGUAAUAUUAUUUUCCCUUCUGAUUUUGAACAGGUGAUUAAAAAUCAAAGUGCUCUAGCUUAAAAACAGCUAUGUCUGAUUUACUUUACAGAACUUACUUGCAAAAUAUUUUGAAUUCUCAUAAGAGAAAGCAAAGGUUAUUAGCAUGCUGAAGCCUAAAUACUGUUUCUUACUAAAUAUAAAUAAAAUAGUAUAAAAAUGCAAUAAUAA